CCUACGGGAGGCAGCAGUGAGGAAUAUUGGUCAAUGGUCGGGAGACUGAACCAGCCAAGCCGCGUGAGGGAUGAAGGUACAGAGUAUCGUAAACCUCUUUUGUCAGGGAACAAAGGCGGGGACGUGUCCCCGGAUGAGUGUACCUGAAGAAAAAGCAUCGGCUAACUCCGUGCCAGCAGCCGCGGUAAUACGGGGGAUGCGAGCGUUAUCCGGAUUUAUUGGGUUUAAAGGGUGCGCAGGCGGUCUGUUAAGUCAGCGGUAAAAGCCCGGGGCUCAACCCCGGCCCGCCGUUGAAACUGGCAGUCUCGAGUUGGAGAGAAGUAUGCGGAAGGCGCGGUGUAGCGGUGAAAUGCAUAGAUAUCGCGCAGAACUCCGAUUGCGAAGGCAGCAUGCCGGCUCCACACUGACGCUGAGGCACGAAAGCGUGGGUAUCGAACAGGAUUAGAUACCCCAGUAGUC
rnacentral:rRNA from 1 species